GUGCCUAAAUUUAACGAGUAAGGAAAACCAUAAUGUCUUGCUAAUCGCUUGACAGAGCGCUUCUAGGCAGUGUGGAAUUUCGUAAUAGAAGUUUCACAUGAAGCACAAAUUUUUGCAUGGGCACAGGUCGUCCCUUUGAACUGAAGUGCGCUGGAGUUCGACUACUUUUCGGACUUUGGCGCACACAACGGUUUGGGUGAAGCGAUCUGCCCG